ACUGGGUGAGGGUAUAUUGAGAGUGAGGGUGUACGUUACUGGGUGAGGGUGUUAUUGAGAGUGAGGGUGGUUGUUACUGGGUGAGUGUGUUAUUGAGAGUGAGUGGUGGUUGUUAAUGGGUGAGGGUGUUAUUGAGAGUGAGUGGUGGUUGUUACUGGGUGAGGGUGUUAUUGAGAGUCAGGGUGUUUGUUACUGGGUGAGGGUGUUAUUGAGAGUGAGGGUGGUUGUUACUGGGUGAGGGUGAUUGUUAUUGAGAGUGAGUGGUGGUUGUUACUGGGUGAGGGUGUUAUUGAGAGUGAGUGGUGGUUGUUACUGGGUGAGGGUGACAUUGAGAGUGAGUGGUGGUUGUUACUGGGUGAGGGUGUCAUUGAGAGUGAGUGGUGGUUGUUACUGGGUAAGGGUGUCAUUGAGAGUGAGAGGUGGUUGUUACUGUGUGAGUGUGUUGUUACUGGGUGAGGGUGUUAUUGAGAGUGAGAGGUGGUUGUUACUGGGUGAGAGUGUUAUUGAGAGUGAGCGGUGGUUGUUACUGGGUGAGGGUGAUUGUCUGAGAGUGAGUGGUGGUUGUUACUGGGUGAGGGUGUUAUUGAGAGUGAGGGUGGUUGUUACUGGGUGAGGGUGUUAUUGAGAGUGAGUGGUGGUUCUUACUGUGUGAGGGUGUUAUUGAGAGUGAGGGUGGUUGUUACUGGGUGAGGGCGUUAUUGAGAGUGAGGGUGGUUGUUACUGGGUGAGAGUGUUAUUGAGAGUGAGCGGUGGUUGUUACUGGGUGAGGGUGAUUGUCUGAGAGUGAGUGGUGGUUGUUACUGGGUGAGGGUGUUAUUGAGAGUGAGGGUGGUUGUUACUGGGUGAGGGUGUUAUUGAGAGUGAGUGGUGGUUCUUACUGUGUGAGGGUGUUAUUGAGAGUGAGGGUGGUUGUUACUGGGUGAGGUUAUUAUUGAGAGUGAGGGUGUUUGUUACUGGGUGAGGGUGUUAUUGAGAGUGAGAGGUGGUUGUUACUGG